GGGGGCGUCACGGUUUCGACGGGAUCGUCAGCGGUAAAGAGGCAUGCCGGGGUGUGUGCACCCGUAAUCGCUCACAAAAACACAAGUGCCGAACCACAAUUCGCACUCGCAGCUUAAUUAAUUAAGUUGCCGUCCUCCGCGGCUUUGCCUGCGGGCUUCGAGAGGACGUCGCACAGCAGGCUGGCUUCUAUCGUUGGGUACGGGCGAUAGAGGCGAGAUCCACGGACUAGCAAUGCGCGCAUCUUGUCCGUUCUGAGCGCGCAAAGCGAAACCUUCGGAACAGGACUGAGCAUGGAGCCUCUCUUUGCUGACUACGAUUUCGGACGCGGGUUCGACUCCCGCCGCCUCCACCA
rnacentral:tmRNA from 2 species